rnacentral:rRNA from 1 species
UACGGAGGGUGCGAGCGUUGUCCGGAAUCACUGGGCGUAAGGGCGCGUAGGCGGCGCGGGAAGUCCGUGGUGAAAGCCCGAGGCUCAACUUCGGGUCGGCCAUGGAUACUCCUGGGCUCGAGCACUGUAGAGGCAGGUGGAAUUCCGGGUGUAGCGGUGGAAUGCGUAGAGAUCCGGAAGAACACCGGUGGCGAAGGCGGCCUGCUGGGCAGUGACCGUAAGGUCUAAAAGCUGACGCUGAGGCGCGCAGCGUGGGGAGAAACAGG